rnacentral:rRNA from 1 species
GACGAACGCUGGCGGCGUGCUUAACACAUGCAAGUCGAACGGUGAUGCUCCAGCUUGCUGGAGUGGAUCAGUGGCGAACGGGUGAGUAACACGUGAGCAACCUGCCCCAGACUCUGGAAUAAGCGCUGGAAACGGCGUCUAAUACUGGAUACGAAACUGGCCCGCAUGGGCAUGGUUUGGAAAGUUUUUCGGUUUGGGAUGGGCUCGCGGCCUAUCAGCUUGUUGGUGAGGUAAUGGCUCACCAAGGCGACGACGGGUAGCAGGCCUGAGAGGGCGACCGGCCACACUGGGACUGAGACACGGACCAGACUCCUACGGGAGGCAGCAGUGGGGAAUAUUGCACAAUGGGCGAAAGCCUGAUGCAGCGACGCCGCGUGAGGGAUGACGGCCUUCGGGUUGUAAACCUCUUUCAGCAGGGAAGAAGCGAAAGUGACGGUACCUGCAGAAGAAGCACCGGCUAACUACGUG